UUGGAGGGCAAGUCUGGUGCCAGCAGCCGCGGUAAUUCCAGCUCCAAUAGCGUAUAUUAAAGUUGUUGCAGUUAAAAAGCUCGUAGUUGAAUUUCGGGGUCAGUAGGUUGGUCAUGCCACUGGUAUGUACUGGUCUUACUGAUUCCUCCUUCCUGAUGAGCUGUAAUGCCAUUAAUUUGGUGUUGCGGGGAAUCUGGACUGUUACUUUGAAAAAAUUAGAGUGUUUAAAGCAGGCUAACGCCUGAAUACAUUAGCAUGGAAUAAUGAAAUAGGACGUUCGAUCCUAUUUUGUUGGUUUCUAGGAUUGACGUAAUGAUUAAUAGGGAUAGUUGGGGGCAUUAGUAUUCAAUUGUCAGAGGUGAAAUUCUUGGAUUUAUUGAAGACUAACUACUGCGAAAGCAUUUGCCAAGGAUGUUUCCAUUAAUCAAGAACGAAAGUUAGGGGAUCGAAGACGAUCAGAUACCGUCGUAGUCUUAACCAUAAACUAUGCCGACUAGGGAUCGGAUGAUGUUAAUUUUUUAAUGACUCAUUCGGCGCCUUACGGGAAAC
rnacentral:rRNA from 1 species